rnacentral:lncRNA from 1 species
UGCAGAUAGAUUAUAUAGAUUAUGAAUUAGAAAGUGAAGAUAGUAUAUAUGAAAUUUCAGAAAACGAAACAGAUAAUGAAAUAGAUAGCGAAAUAGAUGAAUCAAAUGACUGAAGAGGAUAUAAAAAUAAUAACAAAGGAAGAAUAUUUAAAUGAUGAAGGAACGGAACAAAAAAUAAUAUUUGACAGUAAUAUAUUUGAUGAAAAAAAAGGAAAAGAAUUAGA